GAUGAACGCUGGCGGCGUGCCUAAUACAUGCAAGUCGAGCGAACAGUCGAGGAGCUUGCUCCUUUGACGUUAGCGGCGGACGGGUGAGUAACACGUGGAUAACCUACCUAUAAGACUGGGAUAACUUCGGGAAACCGGAGCUAAUACCGGAUAACAUGUUGAACCGCAUGGUUCAACAGUGAAAGACGGUCUUGCUGUCACUUAUAGAUGGAUCCGCGCCGCAUUAGCUAGUUGGUAAGGUAACGGCUUACCAAGGCAACGAUGCGUAGCCGACCUGAGAGGGUGAUCGGCCACACUGGAACUGAGACACGGUCCAGACUCCUACGGGAGGCAGCAGUAGGGAAUCUUCCGCAAUGGGCGAAAGCCUGACGGAGCAACGCCGCGUGAGUGAAGAAGGUCUUCGGAUCGUAAAACUCUGUUAUUAGGGAAGAACAAAUGUGUAAGUAACUAUGCACGUCUUGACGGUACCUAAUCAGAAAGCCACGGCUAACUACGUG
rnacentral:rRNA from 1 species